UGGCGGGCCUUAAGUGGGGGGCUAGGGGUCCUCUGAAAGGCAUUGCCUUGACCGUAAAUCCUCUACACGACGGACUGACAGCCGAGGCUGAGAUGUCAAAGAGCGUCAGGCUCCGCUUACCCUUGCAAUGAAUAUCCGUCCCUUGGGGCUGGCGGUCACGGAGCUGUCUCUGUAGGGAGGCAGUUUCUGUACUUGCUAGGUGAAUCUGGCCAGGCCCGGGAGGGAGCAACCUAAGUCUAGACGUUUAGCGCUCAAGGGGGUGCGGAUACUAGACAAGAGUAAGCUGUGGGCUUGACUAAAACUGGGCACCGAACCUCGGUGACCCGUCA
rnacentral:SRP_RNA from 1 species